rnacentral:rRNA from 1 species
UCCUGACUGACCGAUAGUGAACCAGUACCGUGAGGGAAAGGCGAAAAGAACCCCGGCGAGGGGAGUGAAAAAGAACCUGAAACCGUGUACGUACAAGCAGUGGGAGCACGCUUAGGCGUGUGACUGCGUACCUUUUGUAUAAUGGGUCAGCGACUUAUAUUCUGUAGCAAGGUUAACCGAAUAGGGGAGCCGAAGGGAAACCGAGUCUUAACUGGGCGUUAAGUUGCAGGGUAUAGACCCGAAACCCGGUGAUCUAGCCAUGGGCAGGUUGAAGGUUGGGUAACACUAACUGGAGGACCGAACCGACUAAUGUUGAAAAAUUAGCGGAUGACUUGUGGCUGGGGGUGAAAGGCCAAUCAAACCGGGAGAUAGCUGGUUCUCCCCGAAAGCUAUUUAGGUAGCGCCUCGUGAAUUCAUCUCCGGGGGUAGAGCACUGUUUCGGCAAGGGGGUCAUCCCGACUUACCAACCCGAUGCAAACUGCGAAUACCGGAGAAUGUUAUCACGGGAGACACACGGCGGGUGCUAACGUCCGUCGUGAAGAGGGAAACAACCCAGACCGCCAGCUAAGGUCCCAAAGUCAUGGUUAAGUGGGAAACGAUGUGGGAAGGCCCAGACAGCCAGGAUGUUGGCUUAGAAGCAGCCAUCAUUUAAAGAAAGCGUAAUAGCUCACUGGUCGAGUCGGCCUGCGCGGAAGAUGUAACGGGGCUAAACCAUGCACCGAAGCUGCGGCAGCGACGCUUAUGCGUUGUUGGGUAGGGGAGCGUUCUGUAAGCCUGCGAAGGUGUGCUGUGAGGCAUGCUGGAGGUAUCAGAAGUGCGAAUGCUGACAUAAGUAACGAUAAAGCGGGUGAAAAGCCCGCUCGCCGGAAGACCAAGGGUUCCUGUCCAACGUUAAUCGGGGCAGGGUGAGUCGACCCCUAAGGCGAGGCCGAAAGGCGUAGUCGAUGGGAAACAGGUUAAUAUUCCUGUACUUGGUGUUACUGCGAAGGGGGGACGGAGAAGGCUAUGUUGGCCGGGCGACGGUUGUCCCGGUUUAAGCGUGUAGGCUGGUUUUCCAGGCAAAUCCGGAAAAUCAAGGCUGAGGCGUGAUGACGAGGCACUACGGUGCUGAAGCAACAAAUGCCCUGCUUCCAGGAAAAGCCUCUAAGCAUCAGGUAACAUCAAAUCGUACCCCAAACCGACACAGGUGGUCAGGUAGAGAAUACCAAGGCGCUUGAGAGAACUCGGGUGAAGGAACUAGGCAAAAUGGUGCCGUAACUUCGGGAGAAGGCACGCUGAUAUGUAGGUGAAGUCCCUUGCGGAUGGAGCUGAAAUCAGUCGAAGAUACCAGCUGGCUGCAACUGUUUAUUAAAAACACAGCACUGUGCAAACACGAAAGUGGACGUAUACGGUGUGACGCCUGCCCGGUGCCGGAAGGUUAAUUGAUGGGGUCAGCGCAAGCGAAGCUCUUGAUCGAAGCCCCGGUAAACGGCGGCCGUAACUAUAACGGUCCUAAGGUAGCGAAAUUCCUUGUCGGGUAAGUUCCGACCUGCACGAAUGGCGUAAUGAUGGCCAGGCUGUCUCCACCCGAGACUCAGUGAAAUUGAACUCGCUGUGAAGAUGCAGUGUACCCGCGGCAAGACGGAAAGACCCCGUGAACCUUUACUAUAGCUUGACACUGAACAUUGAGCCUUGAUGUGUAGGAUAGGUGGGAGGCUUUGAAGUGUGGACGCCAGUCUGCAUGGAGCCGGCCUUGAAAUACCACCCUUUAAUGUUUGAUGUUCUAACGUGGACCCGUGAUCCGGGUUGCGGACAGUGUCUGGUGGGUAGUUUGACUGGGGCGGUCUCCUCCUAAAGAGUAACGGAGGAGCACGAAGGUUGGCUAAUCCUGGUCGGACAUCAGGAGGUUAGUGCAAUGGCAUAAGCCAGCUUGACUGCGAGCGUGACGGCGCGAGCAGGUGCGAAAGCAGGUCAUAGUGAUCCGGUGGUUCUGAAUGGAAGGGCCAUCGCUCAACGGAUAAAAGGUACUCCGGGGAUAACAGGCUGAUACCGCCCAAGAGUUCAUAUCGACGGCGGUGUUUGGCACCUCGAUGUCGGCUCAUCACAUCCUGGGGCUGAAGUAGGUCCCAAGGGUAUGGCUGUUCGCCAUUUAAAGUGGUACGCGAGCUGGGUUUAGAACGUCGUGAGACAGUUCGGUCCCUAUCUGCCGUGGGCGCUGGAGAACUGAGGGGGGCUGCUCCUAGUACGAGAGGACCGGAGUGGACGCAUCACUGGUGUUCGGGUUGUCAUGCCAAUGGCACUGCCCGGUAGCUAAAUGCGGAAGAGAUAAGUGCUGAAAGCAUCUAAGCACGAAACUUGCCCCGAGAUGAG